rnacentral:rRNA from 1 species
AAUGACGGAAGGGCACCACCAGGAGUGGAGCUUGCGGCUUAAUUUGACUCAACACGGGACAACUCACCAGGCCCGGACACCGUAAGGAUUGACAGACUGAUAGCUCUCUCUUGAUUCAGUGGGUGGUGGUGCAUGGCCGUUCUUAGUUGGUGGAGUGAUUUGUCUGGUUUAUUCCGAUAACGAACGAGACUCUGGCCUAUUAAACUUGAUGCCGCCAGUCCUUAUGUGACUGCGGUAUGCUUCUUAGAGGGAUCAUCGGCGUCCCAGCCGAAGGAAAGGGAGCAAUAACAGGUCUGUGAUGCCCUUAGAUGUUCUGGGCUGCACGCGUGUUACACUGAAGUGGUCAGCGCGCCGUUCAACGUCCCACUCCGAGAGGAGCGGGCAAACGUUUGAACCCUUUUCGUGAUGGGAAUUGGGGGUUGCAAUUGUCCCCCAUGAACGAGGAAUUCCAAGUAAGCGCAGGUCACUAGCCUGCGUUGAUUAAGUCCCUGCCCUUUGUACACACCGCCCGUCGCUACUACCGAUGGAUGAUUUGGUGAGGUCGCCUAGACUGGCCACUGGCUUAGGCCGUGUGGCCGGGAAGACGCCCAAACUUGGUC